rnacentral:miRNA from 1 species
GCUCUCAUCGACCGAGAGGGAUUCCUCUCGGCCGGUGAAAGAGUACACUCUCAUGUACACUCUCACCGGCCGGGAGGAAUCCCUCUCCGCCGUUGAGAGC